UUGCACUUUUACUUUCGCUUUUCAAUAACCUUAGCCUAGCAUUGUUGUGGUGGUUGUUAAUGGCGAAAAUUCGCCAAUUGAAUGAACUAAAAGUGGUGUGGUGGCGUGAAAGGAGUUUGGUCAAUUUUAACUUUGAAUUUUUGAGAGGAAUUCGUACAUACAUAAGGAUGCACAGGACGUAAACGUUUUGUCUCCGAAGGAGACGGUGGCCAUAUUAAGCCACAAACUAUUCCAAUUCGUGACUAAAAAAGAAACAACAAAAUUAUAAUUAAACGCAUAAAUAUAAAAUCAACAACAACAAGCACUUUUUAACCACAAAAUAACUGCAUUCUUUCUACAAAACAAACGACAAUUAAAACAAAAACAAGAACUACACAAUACAACUAUAACCAACAAAAAAAAGGAAUAAAAGAAAAAUGAAGUUUCAUUAGUAUCAACUUUAGAACCAAGUGAAAACUGUGAGGAGAAAUUGACACCGACCAGCAGCAAAAAGGAAAUGCCAGAAAUUUAACUAUCAAUUUCCAAAAACCCUCAUUUUCUUCAUAAACUCACCCACAACCGCAAACAAGAGUAUAAUAUAGUGUAUUCGCAAAUAAACCGCAACAAAACUUAUCAACGAAGAAGGGAAGAACCCUGGAAAGCAAAAAAAAAACAAAAAAUUGACAAAAAAUCGACGACAACCGCAACAAGGCCACGAACUUCACAUUUAUUGGUACUGGCAUCAGCUUUGUUUCAAUUUGAAGAAGAUUAACGAACCUUCCAUGUAACUAUUUGUUAGCAGCAUUAGCUCUAUGUAUGUAAGUAUGUAUGCAGUAAAUAGUUGGAGCAUAAAACACAAUAACCAAUAGAAGGCAAAAACAAAAAAAAAAAGAAACACAAACGAAAAUAACUGCAAAACUUGGAACAAGCAGUAAAUGCGCAUACAUACACAAAGCAACAAUAUGCAAGGCGUAAUCAACAACAAUCAAUCAAUUUUACUUGUCUCUUAUUACUAUCCACAAAGCAUGUUUUAGUAAACUGUUUUUUUUUACUUUAUACUGAAUGUAAUUUUUAAGUUUUUAUUGCUAUGAUUUGAAUUUUCGCAAAUUUAUUGUACGCGUCUGCUGAAGUUUGACUAAAACGAAUUAUCGCAUUUUUUGUUUGUAUAAAACUUUUGUAGAAAAACAAACAAAAAAAUGCAAAUAUUAUGCGUGGAAAAUUGAGUAAAAACUGAAAACAUGUAAUUUGUGAAAUAAAAACAGCGUAAAUGAUAUAUGAGUAUUGUAAAAUGAAAAUGUUUUGCUUUUUAUAUUUUUCCUCUUGAUAGUGGCGAAACAAAGCAAUUUAAUGUUUUUUAGGCGAAAAUAUGAGAAUACAUUUCUGCAAAAAUGCAAGCCAAACUGGAAGUUGAUACAAACAUCAAUUAAAAAUAUUGAAUAACCGAAAAAAAUAUUGGCAUUUACGCUUGAAAUAAAAAGUCGAAAAAUAAAUACAUACUAACGAAAUAAUUUGGCACAAUCAAAUCUGGUUUGCAUAGUAAGCACACACUGCAAAUGCAAGUGCAAAAAAGAAUAAAAUGCGUACAUAUGUAUAUCUCAAAUUCUGCAGCGAAGCAAAAGCUACCUACAUACAUAUAUAUGUGUGAGAUUUAUGUAACCAACAUUGCAGAGUCUUACGAAUGAAUUAUACAUAUCGUUGAUACUGCAAAGUGUUCUAUGUCAAGUACUACUUCUUAUGCUUAGAUAUGUGUUAUCCAAAUCUGAACAUUUCUAUUAAUCGUUGAAUUUCAUCGGGCAGAGGUGGAAAGUUUUGUCUUUGGUUUAUGAUUUUAGAGAGAUUUACAAAUGCGUAAGCACAAGUAAUAAUUGGCACAGAACGUUUUGCAAUAUCAGCGACGUUAUAUAUUUUUUAGCAAUUUUUCUAAAUGCAUGCGCACAAUAAAUAUAACACUUGAAUAAUAUGUUGCGUUUUUGUACAACUAAGCUAAACUGCACACCAUUACAAUUUUACGUACAUUUUGUGUAGCAGUUAGAGAAGUUGGGCAAAAAUAAUAGAAGCAGCAAAGAAAAUAAAAAUCUUGUGUACAUUGGUUUUUCAAAUUCAAUGAAAAUCUACUAUUGUUAGAGAUACAAA
rnacentral:lncRNA from 1 species